rfam:Glycine max cultivar Williams 82 chromosome 2, whole genome shotgun sequence.
GAUUUAUUAGUUUAGUUGGUUAGAGUGUUGUGCUAAUAACACAAAACUCGAAGGUUUGAUUCUUGUUUGGGUCA